GUAAGUAAAAGUCGUAACAAGGUUUCCGUAGGUGAACCUGCGGAAGGAUCAUUAUUGUAUAACCGAGGUGCGAGGGCUGUCGCUGACCCGAAAGGUCGUGCACGCCCGAGUGCCCUCACACACAUCAUCUCACCCCUAUGUGCACCACCGCGUGGGUCCCCCUUUGGCUUGUUCGGAGGGGGGCUUACGUUUUCACACAAACUUUGUAUGCAGUGUAGAAUGUAUUUUUUGUUUUUGCGAUCACGCAAUCAAUACAACUUUCAACAACGGAUCUCUUGGCUCUC
rnacentral:misc_RNA from 1 species